AACUAUCGGAUAAUUGGAUUCGAUGAAGGGCUAAUAGGAGCCGAGGAU
ncrna:unclassified sequences gut-2 RNA